GGAUUGAAUAUGUUGUUAGUUUUGAAGUUUAUAUAAUUAUAUUAGAAAACCAAUUUAAUUAAGAUAAUAAGAGUAGUAAUGGUUAUUGAAAGUUUGAAUUAUAACGAUAGAGAAGGAGUACUGAAAGGGAAAAAUAGAAGUAAAGGAAUUAAAAAUUAUUAUAGUAGAUGUUAAGGAUUGUACCUUGUGUAUCAGGGAAAAUUUAAAUUUAUUAAAUAUAUUAAUUAUCCCGAAAUAGAAAUAGCUAAUUAUAUAAGAAGUUUUUUGUGACAUAAAGGUUUUGAAUAUAUAAUUAAAGAUGAAAUAUCAUACGAGUUUUAUGUUAUCUGGUUUUCUAAAAAUAAAUAUAAUUUAGGAUUUAGGAAGGAAAUAAUUCUAAGUUCUAAGAGCAGGAGGGCUUAGCUUCUUGUUCAAAGUAGUAUAGAUAAUAGUUGAGUAAAGUAUUUAAAGGUUUAUCCUAGGCUUAAAAGUAGCCAUGGGACGAGGGUGUUUUAACUAAAAAUGAUCCUAAAAAUUAUUUACAUAAAGCUUUAAAUGGUAUUAGAAUAUAAGUUGAAAUUUUAACAAUUAAGUUAUAAUGAUUUUAUUAGUAUAGUUAAUGUUACAUAAUGAAUUGGAAUUUUUUAUUUGAUUUUAAAGUAGUAUAGUUACAUUAAAGGAAUUCGGCAAAUAUUAUUCCUUGCCUGUUUAUCAAAAACAUGUCUAUUUGGAGAUAUAAAUAGUCUAACCUGCUCACUGACAAAGUAAUAUUGUUAAAGAGCCGCGGUAUCCUGACCGUGCAAAGGUAGCAUAAUAAUUAGUUUUUUAAUUGGAAACUUGUAUGAAGGGUUGGACAAAGGAAAAGCUGUCUUUAUAGUAUAAAUUGAAGUUAACCUUUAAGUGAAAAGGCUUAAAUAUUCCAAGGGGACGAUAAGACCCUAUAAAACUUUAUAUAUUAAUUAGAUUUAAUUUGAAUAAAGAAUAAAGAUUCAAUUUGAUUGUUGUAUUUUGUUGGGGCGAUAUAGGUAUAAUUUAUAUUAACUGCUUAGAUUUUAUACAUUAUAUAAAUGAAUUAGAGAAUUAAGUGAUCCUUUUUAGAGAUUAAAAGACUAAGUUACUUUAGGGAUAACAGCGUAAUUUUUUUUGAGAGUUCAUAUCGAAAAAAAAGUUUGCGACCUCGAUGUUGAAUUAAAAUAUCUAUAUAAUGCAGCAGUUAUAUAAGAAGGUCUGUUCGACCUUUAAAUUUUUACAUGAUUUGAGUUCAGACCGGCGUGAGCCAGGUCGGUUUCUAUCUCUUGGAAAAAAAAUACUGCUUUAGUACGAAAGGAUUAAGUAGUAGAAAGUUUUUUAAUUGAAGAAAGAA
rnacentral:rRNA from 1 species